rnacentral:rRNA from 1 species
GAACCUAAAGAGUCCUAUAGACGCAAAGGUUUGGUCCCGGCCUUAAAGUCAGUUAUUGCCCAACUUACACAUGCAAGUCUCCGCACACCUGUGAGUAUGCCCUUGACCCCACCAUGGGCAAGAGGAGCGGACAUCAGGCACGCCAGUCAGCCCAAGACGUCUAGUUAAACCACACCCCCACGGGUACGCAGCAGUGAUUAAUGUUAAAAAUAAGCGACAGCUUGAUUUAAUUAAGGCAAAACAGGGCCGGCAAAUCUGGUGCCAGCCGCCGCGGUUAUACCAGAGGCCCAAAUUGACCCUUUCGGCGUAAAGCGUGGUUAGAGGCCCCAAAAACUAGGGUCAAACUAAAACUAAGCCGUAAAAAUCUUAUUAUUAGGAAGCACAAGAACGAAAGUCACCCUAACCCCCACCCACUUGAACCCACGACAGCUGGGGCACAAACUGGGAUUAGAUACCCCACUAUGCCCAGCCGUAAACUUUUUAUUUACCCCCACCCCCGCCAGGGAACUACGAGCAAUGCUUAAAACUCAAGGGACUUGACGGUGCCCCAUAUCCCG